rnacentral:rRNA from 1 species
GACGAACGCUGGCGGCGUGCUUAACACAUGCAAGUCGAACGGAAAGGCCCUGCUUUUGUGGGGUGCUCGAGUGGCGAACGGGUGAGUAAUACGUGAGUAACCUGCCCUUGACUUUGGGAUAACUUCAGGAAACUGGGGCUAAUACCGGAUAGGAGCUCCUGCUGCAUGGUGGGGGUUGGAAAGUUUCGGCGGUUGGGGAUGGACUCGCGGCUUAUCAGCUUGUUGGUGGGGUAGUGGCUUACCAAGGCUUUGACGGGUAGCCGGCCUGAGAGGGUGACCGGCCACAUUGGGACUGAGAUACGGCCCAGACUCCUACGGGAGGCAGCAGUGGGGAAUAUUGCACAAUGGGCGGAAGCCUGAUGCAGCAACGCCGCAUGCGGGAUGACGGCCUUCGGGUUGUAAACCGCUUUCGCCUGUGACGAAGCGUGAGUGACGGUAAUGGGUAAAGAAGCACCGGCUAACUACGUG